rnacentral:snRNA from 1 species
UCGCUUCAGCAACACAUAGACUAAAAUUGGAACAGUCCACAGGGGAGGAACAUGGCCCCCUGUGCAAGGAUGACACGCAAAUUCACGAAGGAGGAGAAGCUCGA